CCCGCGCUCCCUGCCAUAAAGUUGAUGCCUGCCGUUUCAUUCUUAUGUCGGCUCCUCGUGCUGACCUUCAACUGGGCGUCUCACCACUGAAGCCUUCCCUUCUUGAUCAGCUCAGCGUUGACACUUGGCGUAGCCGGCAGGAUGAGGACUGGAAGCAGUGACAACCAGCCUGCAAGGGGCUCUUGCCAACUGGGAUUGGGCAGUCAACAAGGACAAGGUCCAGGGACCUGGCUUAUCUGUCAUUUCUUGGGAUUUUUCUGGUCAGGAUUGUAGCUGGCUUGCUGCGGGCUAUCAAAGUGUGCCCAGGCACCACUGCUAAACAUUUCUUGCCUGGAGCCUACCAGGGAGCUUUGCUCCUGUCAUCCCCAGAACCUUUGGCAGCAGGUAAACAGGCCACCUGGUCAUGGCCCUGGACUAUACAGGCUGACAAUAAGGAACAGUGCCAUGUCCUGGGCUCACAUGUUUGCUGCUGUCCACAAUGUUUCCCGCUGCUGAGUGUGUACUGAACUACCAGUGGAAGUGGCCAAGGGACUGCCAUGGCACGUUACUCUGGCUACGAUUGAGAACUGGAUGUGGCUGCGCACCUGGAACACCACACCUGAAUGGGACCAGCGAUGGCGGGCCGUAGAAGCGCUGCUCCACCACGAUCAUCGCAACUCCCCACCUCUCAUGAGCUAUGCCAUUUCCAAUGGGUGGGGAUGGCUGGUGGGAGAACAUGUAGAAUUGCAGGAGCAGGCCCCCCAUUGCAUACAGCAAAAUCUGUGCCCAACUCUAUCAUGGGGUGGCUACCCCCCAAGCUGUGUGCUAACACCACCCUUGCUAAUAUUUCCAAGGUCUGGUGGGAUAGGUGACGUUAUGUUGGUAUAGCCUACCGACUGGCUACCUGCAGGGUAUCUCUGGGUCUGCAGGCACUAUGGCUGGCCCUACUUGCCCGCUGAUUGGACCGGCUAUUGUACCUGGUGAAGUGCCUAUUUAGCUGGAUGCAUAUUAUCUACCUUGCCCCAAUUGCCUUGUAAUUGGGAUCCCAUAUAUCACCCCUGGCACUUGGAGAAAUGGGCAGCAUGGUGGUUCUACCCCCUGGUGUUAUUCAUUCCAGGGGUGGGAUCCAUAGAUGUAGAAUUGCGGGUAGAAGCUUUAGCCCAGCAUAAUGCACAGGCAUUGAAUGCUACGUCAGGCUAUAACUCUUUUAAUGGAUGAAACCACCUAAAUGCAGAAAGUAGUUUUGCAAAACCACAUGGCUCUUGACCUUCUACCGGCUCCCCAGAAUGACACCUGUGCCUACUCCAUGUAGAAUACUGCAUCUACAUUCCUGAUCAUGCCAAACAGGCACAGGUAGCUCUCCAGGAAAUAGAUGCUUAAGUCCAAGCCAUCCAUGGGAGAAGACCUGGGAGAAGACCUCUUGACAACUUGGUGGAAUUCCUUGGGGUCCUCCAGCCAGUAGACAGUAGCCAUCCUAGCCCUUGUAGCCUGUAGCCUGGUAGUAUUUUGUUGUUCUUUAGGUUGUUGUUGUGGAUUGUGGGCCCAAGGUAGUGCCAUUCAAGCCAGAUCUCGUGCCACAACCCUGUAGGGGUGGAGCAUGGGUUCCAGGUCUGGCUAUGAUCCAGGGAUAGAACUCCGGAUUUAAAAUGUUACAUUAAUGUAGUAGGGUGCCUGUGCCUAACUUAUGCAAGUAUGACUCAGCUUAUUGUUUAUUAUGCAUGUGUAGCAGAAUGCCACUAUUGUUCUCUGAUAUAUGUAAAGCCCAUGCGGUCCCCUAGUCCAGAAGUGCACGCUCCCCACAAUAAAGUUAGUGCCUGCCGUUUC